UACUAAUUUUGGCAGUCCAUGAACUCACCGCAGUUUGUUUACCUGUAUAACUAUCUCCGACUUUCUAAGACGUGUUUUAUGUCACUUCUUUUCCUGUCUCAUUUUGUCCACCAAACUUAAAACGCUGCGCAUGACUGCACAAAGACGUUUUCCAACAAAAGUCUGUAGGCAAGUAUCGCAAGUCUGGGAUCCUCCUCGCAAGUGUGGCUUUUCUGAAAAUGUGUCCGCAGAAAAACAACAAUUCCCGCCUGAAAUUUGAAGGGUCACGAGUGAGCUGGAGCCCAUCCCAGCUGUCUUUGGGAAUCACAGGCCACAUAUAGACUGACAAACAUGCAUUGAUAUUUUAUGUCCAAUUAACUUAAAAUGCAUGUUUUUUGGGUAAAAUCCAUGAGCCACCUGGCUGCUCCAGCUCCAUUUUAUGAAGUCCUGUUUUAUUGCUUAAUAGUGAGUAUAAAAAGUUAAUUUGCUCUGCCAUUAAUUGGGCUUACAGAAUGAAACGUUCUAAAUGGAGCGUAGUGUACUAAACCGUAAUUGCCUGAUUUUAAAGUACAAGAGUAUAGGUGUUCGAAAUCCUACGCUGAUAUCAUAUAUCGGUUCGAUAUCAGCGACAACAACAAAAAACAAGUAUCAGAUGAUAUCGGCUUGCAUGUAAAAUCUCUCAUUCAAGCAGUCCUGCUUGUGCAAAGCUGGACAGCCAGUUAGACUUAGACUUAGACUUAGACCAAUUCUAAUGAUCCACAAGGGAAAUAGUUCCAGACAGUAGCUCUGUUACAAAGGACGGAAAGGAUAAGGAUGGAAAGGAUAAUGCACACAAGGGCACAAAAAGAGGGCAACAACAAAAGAUAUAAAGUAGACUAAAAAUGUACCAUAGUAGCAAUAUAAAUAUAACAUAUAUGUAAUAUUUACAAUAUUUGUAACAUUUAUGCAUAUAUAACAUCGAGGACUAUGUUUACACUGCAGGCCGAAGUGACCCAAAUCGAAUCAAAAUUUUUCCAGCUGACUGUUUUCGCUGCAAGUAAAAUGUGAUCUUUAUCAGACUCCGGUAUUAACAUGUACAGGCCCCAAAGUGGCCCCAAUGUAGCCCCAAGAUGGCCUCAACAUCACUUGCAUGCACAGUUUGAUCAAGUGAAAACAAAGGAAGUUCAAGCAAUCAAUCAAUGUUUACUUAUAUAGCCCUAAAUCACGGGUGUCUCAAAGGGCUGCACAAACCACAACGACAUCGUCGGCUCGGAUCCCACAUCAGGGCAAGGAAAAAUUCAAUAUGAAAGGAAUGUGUAGUGGAGGAAGUCACAACUAAUGUCAUGAUCCGCGGCUCGGAUCAUGUCAUAUUCUGGUUUUGUUCUGUUUGUAUAUCACAUCCUGUUUGAUUUUUGUCUUCCUUAGUUCCUGGUGGCACUUCCUGUUUGUUUACGUUGCCAUUGCCACACAUUAGUGUCACCUGCAUCUUGUUUUUCUGCUCUGUGAUUAUCUCCUUUAUUUAAGCCUGCCCUUUUUGUUCAUUCACUCUCGCAGUCUAGUGCAACAGGUAACGUCGCUAUUCCCGAUUAUGGUAAAAUACUUUUUGUAUUCAUUAGCUUCCACGCUAUUCCUCUGUUUGUCUCCCUAGCUUACAUGCUAUCGCUUUCAGUUCUUUCUAGCUCCCAUGCUAGUUCUGUUUGUUUUGUCUUUAGUGCCUUGUGCAAGUGUUUUCUGUUCAUAAUCUGUUUUUGUAGUGUUAAAUAAAAAAUCAUCAUUCCUUACCUUCACGCUGUGUCCAUAUCCGACUGCUCCCUUGAGAGAACAAACCCGCACCACAAUGCCAGCCAAGCGUCACAACUACAUUUACAAAAUAAGCACCACCAAGUACCAUAAUGAGCAACACUGAAAUACAGUAGCACAGUGGGCCCAAGUAUUCAUUAAAAACAAGGCAGAUGUUUUACUUUACAAGCAUAUUUAAUAUUUUUGGCCACAGUAACAUCACACACGGUUUGAACAGUAACGCUGUGUUUGAUUAUAGGGAAAUACAACACUGUACUUUAAUCAGGUGAUUCUUUGGCGUACAACUCGAUGGUGUGCUCGCUGGCAAAUUUCCACUCCAAAAUACAGCCUGAAAGAACGUUAUACGUAGACUUAGACUUCCU